rnacentral:lncRNA from 13 species
AUGCACAAGAACUAUACUAUGGGAUCCUAUCAGACUGUCACUGUGUGGAUACUUGGAGGCUCCGGGACACGGAGCAGAAGACUCUGUUUGAUUGGAGUUUCAGAACAGGUGUGGCUGGCUGGGGAUUGGAUGGACGACCUGGUGACCUCAUCAGGUCAGGGAGUAGAGCCCCGGCCUGCCCCGCUGAUGAUUGGUUCAGUGCCUGCCAGGGCCAGCUGCACACUGCUCAGUAGCCCCGCCCCCUUUGGAACCCAUUGCCACCUGCUGAUUGGAGAACAUCAGCGGGGAGGGGCAGGACAGGGGGCGGGGUCACAACGUUCUUUUUUUUAUUGUUAGUUGUUUUGUGGAUUGAUAGUCGGGAGGAAUCGUGCCCUUAGGUCGAAUACAAUGUGCCUUUGGUUAUUAAUGCCAUUCAUUUAGUAACCCAAGACCAGUAACAUAAUGACUUCAUUCCCCUACACCUACCUACAGCACAUCUCCCCUGAACAUACAUCCAUUUCACAGAUGUGUGAAAUGUUUACAGUCAUUUUCAUGGAUGUUUUCUUCAAGCCCAAAGACAGUCUUCCUGGCUUAACCUCUGAUGUGGUAGCGAGGAGAAAGCCAAGCGGCCGCACAACGACAAUGGCACCCUAUUUCCCUAUAUAGUGCACUACUUUUGAUAGGGCUCUGGUCAAAAGUAGUGAACUAUAUAGGGAAUAGGGUGCCAUUUCGGGAAACAGCCGUGCAGUUUCGAGGCAGAGCGUCAGAUCUUUCGGGAUGACUAACUCUCACCUGGAAACACCCUUUGCCAACAGGGAACGCUUAGUAAGAAGCAAUGACCUUAUGCUCUGAAAGGGUUGAGGAACUGACAGCCUCUGUCUUGUCUUAACAUCAAAACAAUUCAAGGGGUUACAGCUGUUAGCUUCAUUUUAUCACUCCCGGAGAGAAGGACAAAAAUACAUUUUAAUCUUUACCUCAGACUGUUGUGAUAGAUAUAUCUUCUUAUUGUGAUGUGAAUAACCCAGGGCAUUUGGUUACAUACCAAAGUGCAUUUCUUUCUACGUUUUGUGGCUAUGAGGAAAUGAAGCCAGUGGAUUUUGCCUCAUUUUUUUUACUCAGAAAAAUAAGAGGCACUCAAACCACUUUUGGUCAUUCAAGGGCCAUAUCUAUCUAUAUCUCUAUCUAUAUCUCUAUCUAUCUGUCUGGAGAAUGCUUGUCUUCAGCUGAGAAGGAAGUAGAGAGAUGGAGUACAGUGUUUAUUUUAUUACACCGCUGUCUGAACGGCGUAGCACAACUCCAAACCUCUGUGUGCUCCACACGGUUGGAUGUAGUAGCUUCUUUUCAGUGCAGUGUCAACUGUCCUAUCACAAUCUGCAGUCUAUAGUCGGUGUGUCAGUCAGCCCAAUGUGCUGCUCCACGGUAAGGUAACUUAGCUGUGGCAGAAUCAGCCAUUUGGCUAUAUUGUAAAUGUUUUGAAAAUGACAUUUUUUAAAAAUAUUUUUUUUUUGCUACUUGUAAGAAUUUUAACUCUUGACUCUCGAGAGAGCUCUACUACACAACUUUUAGAAGACAGUCUCUAGAGUUCAACUACACAACUUUUAGAAGACAGUCUCUAGAGCUCUACUACACAACUUUUAGAAGACAGUCUCUAGAGUUCUACUACACAACUUUUAGAAGACAGUCUCUAGAGUUCUACUACACAACUUUUAGAAGACAGUCUCUAGAGUUCUACUACACAACUUUUAGAAGACAGUCUCUAGAGCUCUACUACACAACUUUUAGAAGACAGUCUCUAGAGUUACUACUACACAACUUUUAGAAGACAGUCUCUAGAGUUACUACUACACAACUUUUAGAAGAAGGAAGUUAAAAAAAAAAAACUGAAUCUUGAACCGAGCAACGACGUUGAUAGAUGUUAGUACUCUUUACCACAGCCACGUACGCUGUACAUAUGUGAAAUUUGCGAUGGAUACAAUGUGGAUUUGUACAUAUGUAUAAUGUCUUUGCCUCUGGUGAAAUGCUGCUGGAAGCACUACAUGAAUGUUGUAGUGGGUUUUUAAGCUCGGUCAGUUUUACUAUAGUGUAUCUAAUGUACAGCUAAUGGAAGGUCACUCUCUCUUUCUUUGUUUGUGAUUAUUUGUUCAAAUUUUAUUGUUGUGGCCGGGAAGAUGUUAUUAAAUAAAAACAAGUUUUAAUGUCCAUCUUUAUAAAUGAAUUGUUUACUGGUGGUUAUUUGACACAGGAAGUGUCGUUCCAGGUUAAAUGUCGUCAGGGAAUGAGGCCCAAAGCACUUGAAUCGAUGUACGGUUUGCUUCAGUAAAGACUUCAUUAAAUCUAGUUGUACAACUCAUUUCUUAGUUCUGACUAAGUCAUAUAUAUAUAUAUAUAUAUUUUUUUUUUACAACGAAUCAUCAUUGACCAAAGUACUGUCAUUUCUUACAUCGAUACUAGCCACUAGCACACAGCUCUGUGUGUUUUCAUAUUGAAUAGAUAGAGUACUAGCCACUAGCACACAGCUCUGUGUGUUUUCAUAUUGAAUAGAUAGAGUACUAGCCACUAGCACACAGCUCUGUGUGUUUUCAUAUUGAAUAGAUAGAGUACUAGCCACUAGCACACAGCUCUGUGUGUUUUCAUAUUGAAUAGAUAGAGUACUAGCCACUAGCACACAGCUCUGUGUGUUUUCAUAUUGAAUAGAUAGAGUACUAGCCACUAGCACACAGCUCUGUGUGUUUUCAUAUUGAAUAGAUNNNNNNNNNNUUUCGAGGCAGAGCGUCAGAUCUUUCGGGAUGACUAACUCUCACCUGGAAACACCCUUUGCCAACAGGGAACGCUUAGUAAGAAGCAAUGACCUUAUGCUCUGAAAGGGUUGAGGAACUGACAGCCUCUGUCUUGUCUUAACAUCAAAACAAUUCAAGGGGUUACAGCUGUUAGCUUCAUUUUAUCACUCCCGGAGAGAAGGACAAAAAUACAUUUUAAUCUUUACCUCAGACUGUUGUGAUAGAUAUAUCUUCUUAUUGUGAUGUGAAUAACCCAGGGCAUUUGGUUACAUACCAAAGUGCAUUUCUUUCUACGUUUUGUGGCUAUGAGGAAAUGAAGCCAGUGGAU